rnacentral:rRNA from 1 species
GCAUUCACUUUAAAUAGGGCACCGUCGAAAUCCGUUGAGACGACACCGUAUGAAUUAUGGUUUGGGAAGAAACCUAAGCUGUCGUUUCUAAAAGUUUGGGGAUGCGAUUCUUAUGUCAAGAAACUUCAACCUGAAAAGCUCGAACCCAAGUCGGAAAAAUGCGUCUUCAUAGGACACCCUAAAGAAACUAUUGGGUAUACCUUCUACCUCAGAUCCGAAGGCAAGAUCUUUGUUGCCAAGAAUGGAUCCUUUCUAGAGAAGGAGUUUCUCUCAAAAGAAGUAAGUGGGAGGAAAGUAGAACUUGAUGAAGUAUUACCUCUUGAACCGGAAAGUGGCGCAACUCAAGAAAAUGUUCUUGAGGUGCCUGCACCGACUAGAGAGGAAGUUAAU